GGGUUGUGAGGUUAAGCGACUAAGCGUACACGGUGGAUGCCCUGGCAGUCAGAGGCGAUGAAGGACGUGCUAAUCUGCGAUAAGCGCCGGUAAGGUGAUAUGAACCGUUAUAACCGGCGAUUUCCGAAUGGGGAAACCCAGUGUGAUUCGUCACACUAUCAUUAACUGAAUCCAUAGGUUAAUGAGGCGAACCGGGGGAACUGAAACAUCUAAGUACCCCGAGGAAAAGAAAUCAACCGAGAUUCCCCCAGUAGCGGCGAGCGAACGGGGAGGAGCCCAGAGCCUGAAUCAGCAUGUGUGUUAGUGGAAGCGUCUGGAAAGGCGCGCGAUACAGGGUGACAGCCCCGUACACAAAAGCGCAUGUGUUGUGAGCUCGAUGAGUAGG
rnacentral:rRNA from 1 species